ACACACACACAGCUGCCCAGGAUGGUCUGAAGCGCUCACUGUACCCAGUAGGCCUGGAACUCAGCGUUUUCGUGCUUUAACCUCCCCUGUUAAUAGGAUCACAGUGCUGUCUCGGAGGUGAGAAGAGCGCACCAGACUCUCUGGAACUGGAGUUACAGCUGGCUGGCUGUGAGCUGUGGUGCUGGGAACCCCAACUGGGUCCUCUGCAAGAGCAGCAAGUGCUGUGAACCGCUGAGUCACCUCUUCAGCCCCCCACCUCCACCCCCAUGACAAGUCUUAUCAAGACUACACCCAUGGGCUGGGGACUGUAGUUCAGUGGUAGGGCACUUAUAUAGCAUGUAGGAGAUCCAAGUGUCCUGCCCAGCCAGGACCACAGAUUUAAGAAGACUAAGCUUGUUAAUAUAAUUUGAAAGGCCUG